ACGACUCUCGGCAACGGAUAUCUCGGCUCUCGCAUCGAUGAGGAACGUAGCGAAAUGCGAUACCUGGUGUGAAUUGCAGAAUCCCGCGAACCAUCGAGUCUUUGAACGCAAGUUGCGCCCGAGGCCACUCGGCCGAGGGCACGCCUGCCUGGGCGUCACGC
rnacentral:rRNA from 1 species